CUUUCCAACUGGGUGGGCAGCUUUCUGAAGUUAAGGCUCCUGUCCUGGUGGAGGGAGCAGGUUCCCUGGUGGUCCAAUUCUGUGUGGAGACUUUGGGAGCUGCUCCUGGAAGCUCAGCCCUCCCAACAAUUCUGCAAGCCAUUUAACGCUUUUCCGUCUAAGCCAACGAGAGUGCAAUCCAUUAUACACAACAGAAUCCUGACUCAGACAUUCUGUCUUCUAAGCCUAAGAGUCGCAACACAACUCUAAAAUAACACUGCAUUCUGCAUGAGCUGAAGCUCCUGCUCUCACCCAAAUUCCCUGGUGUGUUCUUUGUGAGGUUUCUAAGUGUAAGCACAGACUCACAGAAAGUCUUUUAUGAUAGAUCAUUGACCCAAUCCUCAAUCCUCUCAUGUAUGGCUCCCUUAUCUAGGGGACUUUGGCAUGUCAUGUGAUCUCCCUGUGAAUGAGCCAAGACAAGGACUCCCAGCCUUCUGACUGCUAAAUCAUUGCUCUCUUCAUUACAUCAUAUUGUCACAGCUGUUUUGCAAGAUGACUAAUUUAUGAGAAUAGUUCAAACAACGUAUCUGGAAGUAGAUUUUUAAAAAGAGAACAGAGUCUUCAAUUGCCAGUGAUUGUCUAUAGCUUUUACUUCCUCAAGACACCACUUUACGUUGUUUAUUCUGAUCCAGGCACAGUACAACUUCAUUUUAUUCUCCAAAUAAAAGACUGCUGAAGCUUCUGAGAAAAAGAAAAAAGCGAAGGAUCAUCUUUGAUCAUGCAGUGAGCUGAUUCCAAAAUGUGGACAAAAAGCAGACUCAAAGGCAAUGAUUCCGAGAAACAGUGAAUGUCACAAGGAGACACCUGGGCUCUUUAUAAAGAGGUCUCUCUCAGCCUCCCUGCGCUUAGGGACAGUGGACAGCACUGCAGCACUGCAGCACUGCACUUGGGGCCAUUUUAAACAGCGAAGUCACCAAAACCACGCAAAAAAAUGCUAAAAGCACAGUACUAAACAGACCAUGGAAAAGACAUAUGUACAGUAUGAGAAGGUAAAGUGUCUGUCUGACCUCAGUGGGGAGCAUAAGCACUGGAUGACUCAACGUUUUCACUUCUCUGUGCAUGUCCAAAAAUGACAAAAAUGACUCAGUGGAAGUACUCUGCCUGUUGAUUUGGGGGUUAAAAUACA
rnacentral:lncRNA from 1 species